CCUUAAUCUGGUUAUAGUAACUAUGAAAUAACUUACAAUGAAUACGUUUGAGUCCCAGUAGUAGACAGGGAAAACCAGAGAGUCCUCAUAGUUGGCAACCACCUCGUUCCCACACAGGAUAAUACUGGGUUGUGUAGAUGUUGCUGAUGAAGGUAUGCUUCAUCAUGCUUGCCCUAGGACAGAUGUAGAGCAUGUAUUGAUGCAACACUGACCUGAUUACAUGGAUUUUUUUUUUUUUUUUUCACCUGGG